UUUCCCAGCCUAGUGCUUCAAGCCGCUGCUCUAAACCUGAUACACACACACACACACUCACUACCAACCAACUAGCAUUUCCUACAUUACCUGAUUUUUUCGAUUUCUUUUUUCUUUCGGUAAAUUGGGAAAUUCGUGGUAGUUUAGAUGUUUCCCUAAAUACAGAUAUAAAAAAGAUUGUCUGAGCUUAUUGUUACCAGAUAGGAGCAAAGGCUGAUGGAAUGGAUAGAUAGGGAAGGAAGGUGUAUAAAAAUAUGACAGACCGAUGAAAAAUGCCUUAUCUUGAUAAACUAGACAACGAGAAUGUUUGAGUAUAAGAAUAGUAGAGAUGAAAUCAUUUUAAAACAAACACCCUUUGUUAGAUAACAUUCGUAGGAAAAUUGCAAUCUUUUUCCUUGUUUUUGGUAUCAACAUUGAAAUUUAAUACAAUUUACUACCAUAUAUUCGUAUAUUGAGAAGUAAUAUCUUUGUAUUUCUUGAUAUUUUACACAAGGGUUACUUUUAAAAUCUUGUCUUUGUGUUUACAAGCGUUGAUUUCUAGAAACGUACAAAACGACGCUUAGGAUAUUUUUCGAAUAGUCAUACUUUUUUUUGUUUUUUUUUUUUUUUUUU